UGAGGAAUAUUGGUCAAUGGGCGGAAGCCUGAACCAGCCACGCCGCGUGCAGGAAGACGGCCCUACGGGUUGUAAACUGCUUUUCCGGGGGACGAAUAAGGGCGAUGCGUCGCCCGAUGCCGGUACCCCGGGAAUAAGGAUCGGCUAACUCCGUGCCAGCAGCCGCGGUAAUACGGAGGAUCCGAGCGUUAUCCGGAUUUACUGGGUUUAAAGGGUGCGUAGGCGGGCGCCUAAGUCGGCGGUGAAAGGCUGCGGCUCAACCGUAGGAUGGCCGUUGAUACUGGGCGCCUUGGAUUCGGUCGAGGCGGGUGGAAUGCGCGGUGUAGCGGUGAAAUGCUUAGAUAUCGCGCAGAACGCCGAUUGCGAAGGCAGCUCGCCAGGCCGAGAUUGACGCUGAGG
rnacentral:rRNA from 1 species